rnacentral:rRNA from 1 species
AGGAUGAACGCUGGCGGCGUGCCUAACACAUGCAAGUCGAACGUCCUGUCUCGCAAGAGGCAGGGAGUGGCGGACGGGUGAGUACCACGUGGGUCAUCUACCGUGAGGUGAGGAAUACCGGCGAGAAAUCGCCGACAAGACCGCAUAGGCUCGAUGCAAGUCGAGCAAAGCUCUUUCGAGAGAGGGAGCGCCACACGAGGAGCCUGCGCCCGAUUAGCUAGCUGGUGGAGUAACGGUUCACCAGGGCGACGAUCGGUAGCUGGUCUGAGAGGACGAUCAGCCACACUGGGAUUGAGAACGGCCCAGACUCCUACGGGGGGCAGCAGUGAGGAAUUUUCGUCAAUGGGGGCAACCCUGAACGAGCAACGCCGCGUGCAGGAGAAGGUUUCGGAUCGUAAACUGCUUUUCUCGGGAAGAGAACGGACGGUACCCGAGGAAUCGAGCCCCGGCUAACUACGUGCCAGCAGCCGACGGU